AUGUACAUCCAGUCUGAACUCAAGGUGGUGUUACUGCCAAGCACGCGUCUCUUUCAGCAGGUCCCAGGUCUGUUUAUACCAGAGCACUGUUCCAGCUCAGUGAACCUAAGCACAACCUUCUGUUUCUCUGUGACAUCGUCAGUGACAGAAGGAGCAACUUCUAAGAAUGCAAGAAGGAUUUACCACUGCUGUGCAGGUGCAAGCUCCGCUCUGCUUCCAAACAAAAUAUUUCCUAAAACAACAUUCAGGAAAAGCGAUCUCAGAGAAGCAGCAAGAGAAGAAAUCUAUGAGCUCAAUGGUUUCAAAUUUGACUUAGAACUACUUCAGCAUGCUCCUGUAUUCUCGUUAUCAUCCAAGUGGAAAGAAGUCAAUCUGUCCCAGUAUGCACAGCCCUCCUCUCUGACAGCAGGCUAUGUACGCAGGGUUGCAUGCCUUAAGCCUCGCCUCUGAAGAGCUUCAAAACAGACAGAUCGUGAAGCCAACUGCAAGUGACCCAAUUAUGUCCUAGAGGAGAAUUAUUUUGAGAGCCACUGCUACAAAGGGAAUGCUCAGCUAUUGUAGUCAGAAUAACUUUCAGCCCGGGGCUGAAGUGACAGCAGCAGCCUCUGGUACUCCUCCAAAUCAGCCCUUUCUAUUUGGUCUUUGGUCUGUCAACUGCCAUAAGCCCCACUGAGUAUCCCAGGAGCUGGCUGGCAAGAGGUGCUGCUGCACAUCCUGGUUCAGCUUGAAAGUCAUCAAAACUUUCUGAAGCUCCUUUUCCCAAUCAUUACCUACAUACAAACUCAGCAAUGCAAAGCUUUGCAUCAAACAAAUGCAGAUAAACACUUUAAAACAGCAGCAGUUAUAGUCUCUCCCACCCAGUAUAGCAGAUAGCU
rnacentral:lncRNA from 1 species